UUCAGUGAACAAGUUAUUGGGGAGAUAGUCUGAUUACUUUGGAGCUGCCAGAUUGUGUAUCAUGAAAUCCUGAAAAAGUAUUUCAACAACUUUUUCUUGAACCACAGAAACUUCACCUUACCAAAUUGUAGGACCAGACAUUGUGAGAAAGCUUGAUUGCAUUCAAGAGCUGCCAGAGCUAAAGUAGAAAAGAAACUAAACAACUUCUUCUCAUGAUCUGCUUAAUUGAUCUUCACAUUGAAUUGUCAACCUGUAUGCUACAUUGUAUAAUGAUGUUGAGCAAAUAAAGAUACUGCAGUCAGCGUUACAACCUUCAUUAAACAGAAUGAAUUGGUGUUACAGAAAUGGAUAAUAUAUGGAGACAAACACUUUCAGGCUACAGAAACUACACAUUGUUUGAGACUAUGAGAAUGGCUUAUUUUCAUGGUGGAACUCAUACCACAAAGAAAGAACUUGCUUUAUCUUAUUUCUUAUAACUAGUCCCCAAAGACAUACCCAAGUAAACUACAACAGGAAUGAAACCAAACAAAGUCGAUUCAGGAUUUAGAAUUGAAUGUUUUUGUGUCAACAGUGUGUGAAAACUGUGGAAAAUAGGAUUUUAAUUUCAAGGAUUUGAUUUAGUAUGUCAAGGAGUGAUUUGUUUUUAAUUCAUCACACAAGUUAUUGACAAUGCUCUAAAAUAUAAAUAGGAUGUGUAAAUACAGACUUUCAUACCUAACUAAAAUAAUGUUGAACUCAACAGAAUAAACAAACAACCAUCUGUUGUAUGAUAUAUUAGUUGAUUUAUCAAACUUCGUCAGUUUUGUUACAUUACUUAUCAUUGAUAGAAUCUAUUAUCUAAUAACCCUUUACAGUGUGUCAAGUACUCAUCAUUAUAAGCUAUUUUGAAAUAAUUACAGGACUGAUAUUUUA